rnacentral:lncRNA from 1 species
AUGCCGCAAGCGGCCGUGCGCGGGGCACUUGGCACGGCGGGGACGGAGGUGGGUGGAUGCUGGAUGGAGCAGGAGCCGUGUUUUUUCCCGAGAACCGCUGGGAACCAUCUGGGGGGUGGCUGGGUGCUUGUUGGGCGCGCAGGGCAGCGGUCCGGGCUGGCGGGGGACAGCCAGCUCCGUCCUUGUGCUUGGCACCGCGGGGACGCGCUGUUUGUGGUGUGCAGGAAUAAAGGUUGUGUUUCCUACUGCCGCGUGGGGCCGGGGCCGUGCCAGCAGCACCGCGGGGUGCCGGAACCAGGCGGGUGCGGGCAGCAGGGGGAGCUGAGCCGGGCACAGCCUCGCGGCACAGGGCAGCGGGAGCUGAGCACCCUGCGGGGAGCCACGCUCCCUCGACACCCGUCCUGCCCUCUGGUUCUGGCCCCUUGGUGUGGCUGCAGCAGAGGCAAGGUGCCCGUUAGCUGCCCGUGCAGCGUGGCACCGUGUCCCAAAAGCACGUGCCUCAGUUUCCCCUGGUGCUGGGUGAGGAGCGGGGGUUGUGGCGCACCCUGGAGGCGCUGUCCCCAACCAGCUGGGCACGGUGCAGGGACACGGCGUGGCACGGGGACCUGGUGCGCAGUGGGGAUCCCGCACACUGCAGGGAUCCCGCACACUGCAGGGAUCCAGCACCACCCCAGGGCAGGAGGCAGGCGGGGAGCCGAGGUGCAGCUCAGCCCCAUCCUGCACGCCGCAGCCCCCGCACCCCGCCAGCAUCAGCUCCCGGGGGAGCAGCGUCCGGGCAGGAUGAGCCCCAGACCCUGGGAACCUCCCGUGGGAAGAGGGGCUGGGGCAGCGGGGCCGUGCCCUGGGGAGGCCGUGGCGGUGCCAAUGCGUGGCCGCUGGCUCCCGGCCGCAGGGCUGGCCCUGGCGGCGCGUCCGGCCGCAGGGACCGGCGCUGGACGAUGGGGCCCCCGCUCCGCCCUGGGCGGCCCCGCGGUCCCGGAGAGGAGGGGCCCGCCGCCCCCUCGCCGGCGGGGCGCGGGAGGCUGGGCCGCCGCGGGGUUUUAA